ACUAUAGACUCACCACAUUCACAAUCCUGGUCCAUCCAUCUCAAACCUACAAGAGAACUCUGAAAUCACGUUAGUUAACUCUCUACAUUCAUUAAUAAGAUGGCGUGGACUUUCUCAAUAGGAGGCAUCAUUCAGGGUAGACGGCGCUUGGUAUGAAAGGGGCUUUUUGGUGUUUGGUGGUGGAGUUAAAGUGUUUAGGGUUACCGUAUAAUCUCGAGAAUG
rnacentral:lncRNA from 1 species